rnacentral:rRNA from 1 species
UUAAGCGACUAAGCGUACACGGUGGAUGCCCUGGCAGUCAGAGGCGAUGAAGGACGUGCUAAUCUGCGAUAAGCGUCGGUGAGGUGAUAUGAACCGUUAUAACCGGCGAUUUCCGAAUGGGGAAACCCAGUGUGUUUCGACACACUAUCAUUAACUGAAUCCAUAGGUUAAUGAGGCGAACCGGGGGAACUGAAACAUCUAAGUACCCCGAGGAAAAGAAAUCAACCGAGAUUCCCCCAGUAGCGGCGAGCGAACGGGGGAGGAGCCCAGAGCCUGAAUCAGUGUGUGUGUUAGUGGAAGCGUCUGGAAAGGCGCGCGAUACAGGGUGACAGCCCCGUACACAAAAAUGCACAUGCUGUGAGCUCGAUGAGUAGGGCGGGACACGUGGUAUCCUGUCUGAAUAUGGGGGGGACCAUCCUCCAAGGCUAAAUACUCCUGACUGACCGAUAGUGAACCAGUACCGUGAGGGAAAGGCGAAAAGAACCCCGGCGAGGGGAGUGAAAAAGAACCUGAAACCGUGUACGUACAAGCAGUGGGAGCCUCUUUAUGGGGUGACUGCGUACCUUUUGUAUAAUGGGUCAGCGACUUAUAUUCUGUAGCAAGGUUAACCGAAUAGGGGAGCCGAAGGGAAACCGAGUCUUAACUGGGCGUUAAGUUGCAGGGUAUAGACCCGAAACCCGGUGAUCUAGCCAUGGGCAGGUUGAAGGUUGGGUAACACUAACUGGAGGACCGAACCGACUAAUGUUGAAAAAUUAGCGGAUGACUUGUGGCUGGGGGUGAAAGGCCAAUCAAACCGGGAGAUAGCUGGUUCUCCCCGAAAGCUAUUUAGGUAGCGCCUCGUGAAUUCAUCUCCGGGGGUAGAGCACUGUUUCGGCAAGGGGGUCAUCCCGACUUACCAACCCGAUGCAAACUGCGAAUACCGGAGAAUGUUAUCACGGGAGACACACGGCGGGUGCUAACGUCCGUCGUGAAGAGGGAAACAACCCAGACCGCCAGCUAAGGUCCCAAAGUCAUGGUUAAGUGGGAAACGAUGUGGGAAGGCCCAGACAGCCAGGAUGUUGGCUUAGAAGCAGCCAUCAUUUAAAGAAAGCGUAAUAGCUCACUGGUCGAGUCGGCCUGCGCGGAAGAUGUAACGGGGCUAAACCAUGCACCGAAGCUGCGGCAGCGACACUAUGUGUUGUUGGGUAGGGGAGCGUUCUGUAAGCCUGUGAAGGUGUACUGUGAGGUAUGCUGGAGGUAUCAGAAGUGCGAAUGCUGACAUAAGUAACGAUAAAGCGGGUGAAAAGCCCGCUCGCCGGAAGACCAAGGGUUCCUGUCCAACGUUAAUCGGGGCAGGGUGAGUCGACCCCUAAGGCGAGGCCGAAAGGCGUAGUCGAUGGGAAACAGGUUAAUAUUCCUGUACUUGGUGUUACUGCGAAGGGGGGACGGAGAAGGCUAUGUUGGCCGGGCGACGGUUGUCCCGGUUUAAGCGUGUAGGCUGGUUUUCCAGGCAAAUCCGGAAAAUCAAGGCUGAGGCGUGAUGACGAGGCACUACGGUGCUGAAGCAACAAAUGCCCUGCUUCCAGGAAAAGCCUCUAAGCAUCAGGUAACAUCAAAUCGUACCCCAAACCGACACAGGUGGUCAGGUAGAGAAUACCAAGGCGCUUGAGAGAACUCGGGUGAAGGAACUAGGCAAAAUGGUGCCGUAACUUCGGGAGAAGGCACGCUGAUAUGUAGGUGAAGCGACUUGCUCGUGGAGCUGAAAUCAGUCGAAGAUACCAGCUGGCUGCAACUGUUUAUUAAAAACACAGCACUGUGCAAACACGAAAGUGGACGUAUACGGUGUGACGCCUGCCCGGUGCCGGAAGGUUAAUUGAUGGGGUUAGCGGUAACGCGAAGCUCUUGAUCGAAGCCCCGGUAAACGGCGGCCGUAACUAUAACGGUCCUAAGGUAGCGAAAUUCCUUGUCGGGUAAGUUCCGACCUGCACGAAUGGCGUAAUGAUGGCCAGGCUGUCUCCACCCGAGACUCAGUGAAAUUGAACUCGCUGUGAAGAUGCAGUGUACCCGCGGCAAGACGGAAAGACCCCGUGAACCUUUACUAUAGCUUGACACUGAACAUUGAGCCUUGAUGUGUAGGAUAGGUGGGAGGCUUUGAAGUGUGGACGCCAGUCUGCAUGGAGCCGGCCUUGAAAUACCACCCUUUAAUGUUUGAUGUUCUAACGUUGGCCCCUGAUCGGGGUUGCGGACAGUGUCUGGUGGGUAGUUUGACUGGGGCGGUCUCCUCCUAAAGAGUAACGGAGGAGCACGAAGGUUGGCUAAUCCUGGUCGGACAUCAGGAGGUUAGUGCAAUGGCAUAAGCCAGCUUGACUGCGAGCGUGACGGCGCGAGCAGGUGCGAAAGCAGGUCAUAGUGAUCCGGUGGUUCUGAAUGGAAGGGCCAUCGCUCAACGGAUAAAAGGUACUCCGGGGAUAACAGGCUGAUACCGCCCAAGAGUUCAUAUCGACGGCGGUGUUUGGCACCUCGAUGUCGGCUCAUCACAUCCUGGGGCUGAAGUAGGUCCCAAGGGUAUGGCUGUUCGCCAUUUAAAGUGGUACGCGAGCUGGGUUUAGAACGUCGUGAGACAGUUCGGUCCCUAUCUGCCGUGGGCGCUGGAGAACUGAGGGGGGCUGCUCCUAGUACGAGAGGACCGGAGUGGACGCAUCACUGGUGUUCGGGUUGUCAUGCCAAUGGCACUGCCCGGUAGCUAAAUGCGGAAGAGAUAAGUGCUGAAAGCAUCUAAGCACGAAACUUGCCCCGAGAUGAGUUCUCCCUGAGACUUAGAGUCUCCUGAAGGAACGUUGAAGACGACGACGUUGAUAGGCCGGGUGUGUAAGCGCAGCGAUGCGUUGAGCUAACCGGUACUAAUGAACCGUGAGGCUUAACCUU